UACAGAGGUCUCAAGCGUUGUCCGGAUUUAUUGGGCGUAAAGAGCGUGUAGGCGGCCAGAUAGGUCUGCUGUGAAAACUCGAGGCUCAACCUCGAGAUGUCGGCGGAAACCAUAUGGCUAGAGUCCGGAAGAGGAGAGUGGAAUUCCUGGUGUAGCGGUGAAAUGCGCAGAUAUCAGGAAGAACACCAAUGGCGAAGGCAGCUCUCUGGGACGGUACUGACGCUGAGACGCGAAAGCGUGGGGAGCGAACAGG
rnacentral:rRNA from 1 species